AACGUAGGAGACGAACGUUAUCCGGAGUUACUGGGCGUAAAGGGCGUGCAGGCGGUCUGAUAAGUCUGGCGUGAAAUUGACCGGCUUAACCGGUGAAUGUCGUCGGAUACUGUCAGACUAGAGGGCGAUAGAGGUGUGUGGAAUUCCUGGUGUAGCGGUGAAAUGCGCAGAUAUCAGGAAGAACACCCGUGGCGAAAGCGGCUCUCUGGAACGGUACUGACGCUGAGACGCGAAAGCGUGGGGAGCGAACAGG
rnacentral:rRNA from 1 species